AAACCAGCACCUCAAGUGGUCAGGAUGAUUAUUGGGCCUAAAGCAUCCGUAGCCGGCUCUGUAAGUUUUCGGUUAAAUCUGUACGCUUAACGUACAGGCUGCUGGGAAUACUGCAGAGCUAGGGAGUGGGAGAGGUAGACGGUACUCGGGAGGAAGUGGUAAAAUGCUUUGAUCUCUCGAUGACCACCUGUGGCGAAGGCGGUCUACCAGAACACGUUCGACGGUGAGGGAUGAAAGCUGGGGGAGCAAACCGGAUUAGAAACCCCGGUAGUCC
rnacentral:rRNA from 1 species